GACGAACGCUGGCGGCGUGCUUAACACAUGCAAGUCGAACGGAAAGGCCCUGCUUUUGUGGGGUGCUCGAGUGGCGAACGGGUGAGUAACACGUGAGUAACCUGCCCUUGACUUUGGGAUAACUUCAGGAAACUGGGGCUAAUACCGGAUAGGAGCUCCUGCUGCAUGGUGGGGGUUGGAAAGUUUCGGCGGUUGGGGACGGACUCGCGGCUUAUCAGCUUGUUGGUGGGGUAGUGGCUUACCAAGGCUUUGACGGGUAGCCGGCCUGAGGGGGUGACCGGCCAAAUGGGGAAGGAGGAAGGGCCAGGGCGCGGGCGGGGGGGAGAGGGGGGAAUUGGGAAAAAGGGGGGGGGGGCGAGAGGCGGAAGCGCCGGGGGGGGAGGAAGGGCUUUGGGGUUGAAAACCGGUUUCGCGUGUAAGGAGGGGGGGGGGAAGGGAAAGGGAAAAAAAGAACCGGAAAAAUAGGGG
rnacentral:rRNA from 1 species